GCCGGAGUGGCGGAAUUGGCAGACGCACAGGACUUAAAAUCCUGCGAUCGUAAAGGUCGUAUCGGUUCGACUCCGAUCUUCGGCACCA
rnacentral:tRNA from 1 species